rnacentral:rRNA from 1 species
GUCGUCAGCUCGUGUCGUGAGAUGUUGGUUAGUCCCGCAACGAGCGCAACCCCUAUUGUUAGUUGCCAUCAUUCAGUUGGGCACUCUAGCGAGACUGCCGGUAAUAAACCGGAGGAAGGUGGGGAUGACGUCAAAUCAUCAUGCCCCUUAUGACCUGGGCUACACACGUGCUACAAUGGUUGGUACAACGAGUUGCGAGUCGGUGACGGCGAGCUAAUCUCUUAAAGCCAAUCUCAGUUCGGAUUGUAGGCUGCAACUCGCCUACAUGAAGUCGGAAUCGCUAGUAAUCGCGGAUCAGCACGCCGCGGUGAAUACGUUCCCGGGCCUU